rnacentral:rRNA from 1 species
UGAACUCCACAUCCGCAUCCUUUGCUGAGGAUACGGUUAACGGAGCGAAAGCGACGUUCAACCGCAAAACAAGCAGAGGGGGCUUAGUGGUGGGGUGACUGCGUACCUUUUGUAUAAUGGGUCAGCGACUUAUAUUCUGUAGCAAGGUUAACCGAAUAGGGGAGCCGGAGGGAAACCGAGUCUUAAUUGGGCGUUAAGUUGCAGGGUAUAGACCCGAAACCCGGUGAUCUAGCCAUGGGCAGGUUGAAGGUUGGGUAACACUAACUGGAGGACCGAACCGACUAAUGUUGAAAAAUUAGCGGAUGACCUGUGGCUGGGGGUGAAAGGCCAAUCAAACCGGGAGAUAGCUGGUUCUCCCCGAAAGCUAUUUAGGUAGCGCCUCGUGAAUUCAUCUCCGGGGGUAGAGCACUGUUUCGGCUAGGGGGCCAUCCCGGCUUACCAACCCGAUGCAAACUGCGAAUACCGGAGAAUGUUAUCACGGGAGACACACGGCGGGUGCUAACGUCCGUCGUGAAGAGGGAAACAACCCAGACCGCCAGCUAAGGUCCCAAAGUCAUGGUUAAGUGGGAAACGAUGUGGGAAGGCCCAGACAGCCAGGAUGUUGGCUUAGAAGCAGCCAUCAUUUAAAGAAAGCGUAAUAGCUCACUGGUCGAGUCGGCCUGCGCGGAAGAUGUAACGGGGCUAAACCAUGCACCGAAGCUGCGGCAGCGAACGUAUCACCCAAGACAACUUUACGGAGUUGACGAUUGACGGAGCGAAGCGACGUCAAAGCGUUCAUUAAAGUCGAGUUGGCUUAGGGAUACGUUCGUUGGGUAGGGGAGCGUUCUGUAAGCCUGUGAAGGUGUGUCGUGAGGCAUGCUGGAGGUAUCAGAAGUGCGAAUGCUGACAUAAGUAACGAUAAAGCGGGUGAAAAGCCCGCUCGCCGGAAGACCAAGGGUUCCUGUCCAACGUUAAUCGGGGCAGGGUGAGUCGACCCCUAAGGCGAGGCCGAAAGGCGUAGUCGAUGGGAAACGGGUUAAUAUUCCCGUACUUGGUGUUACUGCGAAGGGGGGACGGAGAAGGCUAUGUUGGCCGGGCGACGGUUGUCCCGGUUUAAGCGUGUAGGUGUGUGUUCCAGGUAAAUCCGGUUCACUUUAACACUGAGGCGUGACGACGAGGCACUACGGUGCUGAAGCAACAAAUGCCCUGCUUCCAGGAAAA